AAAGUCGUAACAAGGUUUCCGUAGGUGAACCUGCGGAAGGAUCAUUAUUGAAGAAUUAGAGUGCACUUUAUUGUGGCUCGACCCUUCACUACCCACUCACACUGUGCACUGUAACACUUUUUUUAUACACCUAACUUGUCUUUUGAAUGUAAUAUCUUAUAAAGUUAAUAAAACUUUCAACAACGGAUCUCUUGGCUCUC
rnacentral:misc_RNA from 1 species